rnacentral:misc_RNA from 1 species
GAUUUCGUGACGUUUUUGUCUUCAAUAAUAACGAAAGCUGCUUCCUCCUCUAAGGGCGAUUUCAGAAGUAGUUUCCUCUCCCCUAUUUUCUUUGUCCAGCUUCUCCUACCCUCUGUUCUCUCACUUUCAGUCUUUGGGCUAUUUCCGCUACCAGCGAGCUAGUGUUCCCAGCUGCGUCUGUCGUCCUCCCAAGAUCUUCGAGUUUCCCUUGAGAAACAAGUCCUGCAUUGUCGUCAUGCUAGCACAGUUGUUCACCCUCGAGACAUUGAUGAACGGAUUGUGCCGUACUUGCAACAAGCAGGAUUUUAUGGUUUGGCACGCGUGGGCUUUAUUCAAUUGGAUUGGCACUUAAUUACAUCACUUGUGGAGAGAUGGAGACCAGAGACACAUACUUUUCAUCUUCCAGAAGGUGAAUGCACUAUCACGCUUCAGGAUGUGGGCAUCUUGACUGGAUUACCCAUAGAUGGACACUCUGUUACAGGUAGUGUCAUGCAUGAUUGGCAACAGGUGUGUAUGAGAUUGUUCGGGGUUGCUCCUUCUGAGGAUGCUAUUUAUGGAUCUCGGCUGCUACUUAGUUGGCUUGGGGAGACUUUUGAGGAGUUACCAGUAGGUGCUGAUGAUUUUGCUAUACAAUGCUAUGCUCGAGCCUACAUGAUGCGUCUCAUUGGAGGGGUAAUAUUCCCUGACAAGUCCUCUUCCCGUGUUCAUUUGAUGUUUCUACCUUUGCUAGAGGACUUUCAGAGAGCAGGUGAAUACAGUUGGGGUGCUGCUUGUUUGGCAUGGUUGUACAGGGAGCUUUGUCGUGGCACAAAUCCUGCAGCAAAGCAAAUUAGUGGUCCCCUCUUCCUAGUUCAACUGUGGGCACUGGAGAGACUCCCUCAUCUUGCAUCAACCUCAAGGGAUAAUGUGCCUCAGGAUCCACACUUGCUCCCGGGUCCUCUUGGAUGUCAGUGGAGAAAUGCAAAGAUUGUUAAUGAAGUAUCCACACAGGUGCUUAAGCAAUAUCGGUAUGCACUAGAUCGACAAGGUCCUGAUCAGAUGACAUGGGAGCCAUACACUCCUGAGGUUGUUGCAAAGUUGCCAUCGUAUUGUACAAUUGCUCGUGCAAUAUGGGGUGCUGUGGUGCCAUUGAUAUGUUUUCACAUUGUUGAAUAGCACCAGCCAAACCGAGUGAUGCGCCAGUUCGGACUACAACAGUACUGGUGCGUCAGGAUGAUGCAUUGCAUGCUAUUGAUCUGCGAGGCAACCAAGAGGUUAACUGGGCAACCCAGCAUGCCUCUUACAUCAGUUUGUGGGACGAUCGUCAUAAUCGGGUAAUACGUGGCAUGCUAGGAAAAGACAGAAUGAAUUAUCAUUCUGAGUAUAUGGAAUGGUAUCGUAAUGUAACUAGAAGAUGGAUUAGUCCAAUGGGUGCAGCAAUUGGAAUGGUGGUUGAUGGGAUUGAACAUAUAUAUCUCAGUAGCGGUAUAAAUGCUAUACCAGAUAAUAUGGCAGAUAUCCACCAAUCGGCAUUGACUAUAUUACGUGCAUCGGAUGAAGAACGGAGUACUAUAAGAGUGCCUUCAACCGAGAGAGCACCAGAACCAGUGCAGAUAACCGGGCUUGAACAAGAGGAGGUACCAUCAAGUUGGAGGCAGCGACGUACCAUGGCUGACAGACACCACCCAGUGGAGAUUGAUCUAUCUCAGCCAUGUAUGCCAGUGGCACGACCAUCAAUGUUGCGGAUGGCAGUGUCUGCUGUUCCGAUAUCACAUGCAGCUAGGAGACGUAAACGUGGGCAUGCAGCUGCAACAACAGCUCAGAUGGAUGACCUCAAUUCACAUGUUGUUGACACAACUGAUGCACCUAUUUUGGAUGAUGCACCAACAGUUGGGGGAUAGAAGGCCCAUCAUAAGUUAAAAACUGUAGUCUACUAAUUCCAACAGAAUACACUUACCAGAAGGUUAACUCUGGAACUUAACUUUUUAUAUUUUGUAUGAUAACUAGGUUGUAUCUAUGUUCCUAUUUACAUAUCUAGUCAUGCAUGAUUAUUGUUGCAGUUUGUUAUGCAUGUUACUCAAUUGCUGAUAACUAUAUCUGUAUUCAGUUCAGUAUGUUGAAUGUAUUUGAGCUAAAAACUUUUCAAAACA